rnacentral:rRNA from 1 species
UACGAAGGGGGGCUAGCGUUGCUCGGAAUCACUGGGCGUAAAGGGUGCGUAGGCGGGUCUUUAAGUCAGGGGUGAAAUCCUGGAGCUCAACUCCAGAACUGCCUUGAUACUGAAGAUCUUGAGUCCGGGAGAGGUGAGUGGAACUGCGAGUGUAGAGGUGAAAUUCGUAGAUAUUCGCAAGAACACCAGUGGCGAAGGCGGCUCACUGGCCCGGUACUGACGCUGAGGCACGAAAGCGUGGGGAGCAAACAGG